GAGUUUGAUCCUGGCUCAGGACGAACGCUGGCGGCGUGCCUAAUACAUGCAAGUCGAACGAACUCUGGUAUUGAUUGGUGCUUGCAUCAUGAUUUACAUUUGAGUGAGUGGCGAACUGGUGAGUAACACGUGGGAAACCUGCCCAGAAGCGGGGGAUAACACCUGGAAACAGAUGCUAAUACCGCAUAACAACUUGGACCGCAUGGUCCGAGCUUGAAAGAUGGCUUCGGCUAUCACUUUUGGAUGGUCCCGCGGCGUAUUAGCUAGAUGGUGGGGUAACGGCUCACCAUGGCAAUGAUACGUAGCCGACCUGAGAGGGUAAUCGGCCACAUUGGGACUGAGACACGGCCCAAACUCCUACGGGAGGCAGCAGUAGGGAAUCUUCCACAAUGGACGAAAGUCUGAUGGAGCAACGCCGCGUGAGUGAAGAAGGGUUUCGGCUCGUAAAACUCUGUUGUUAAAGAAGAACAUAUCUGAGAGUAACUGUUCAGGUAUUGACGGUAUUUAACCAGAAAGCCACGGCUAACUACGUGCCAGCAGCCGCGGUAAUACGUAGGUGGCAAGCGUUGUCCGGAUUUAUUGGGCGUAAAGCGAGCGCAGGCGGUUUUUUAAGUCUGAUGUGAAAGCCUUCGGCUCAACCGAAGAAGUGCAUCGGAAACUGGGAAACUUGAGUGCAGAAGAGGACAGUGGAACUCCAUGUGUAGCGGUGAAAUGCGUAGAUAUAUGGAAGAACACCAGUGGCGAAGGCGGCUGUCUGGUCUGUAACUGACGCUGAGGCUCGAAAGUAUGGGUAGCAAACAGGAUUAGAUACCCUGGUAGUCCAUACCGUAAACGAUGAAUGCUAAGUGUUGGAGGGUUUCCGCCCUUCAGUGCUGCAGCUAACGCAUUAAGCAUUCCGCCUGGGGAGUACGGCCGCAAGGCUGAAACUCAAAGGAAUUGACGGGGGCCCGCACAAGCGGUGGAGCAUGUGGUUUAAUUCGAAGCUACGCGAAGAACCUUACCAGGUCUUGACAUACUAUGCAAAUCUAAGAGAUUAGACGUUCCCUUCGGGGACAUGGAUACAGGUGGUGCAUGGUUGUCGUCAGCUCGUGUCGUGAGAUGUUGGGUUAAGUCCCGCAACGAGCGCAACCCUUAUUAUCAGUUGCCAGCAUUAAGUUGGGCACUCUGGUGAGACUGCCGGUGACAAACCGGAGGAAGGUGGGGAUGACGUCAAAUCAUCAUGCCCCUUAUGACCUGGGCUACACACGUGCUACAAUGGAUGGUACAACGAGUUGCGAACUCGCGAGAGUAAGCUAAUCUCUUAAAGCCAUUCUCAGUUCGGAUUGUAGGCUGCAACUCGCCUACAUGAAGUCGGAAUCGCUAGUAAUCGCGGAUCAGCAUGCCGCGGUGAAUACGUUCCCGGGCCUUGUACACACCGCCCGUCACACCAUGAGAGUUUGUAACACCCAAAGUCGGUGGGGUAACCUUUUAGGAACCAGCCGCCUAAGGUGGGACAGAUGAUUAGGGUG
rnacentral:rRNA from 1 species